rnacentral:misc_RNA from 1 species
GCUAGAAUUUCAAGUGUCACAUUCUAUACUAGUUGCCAGUUUCCUUCUUAUGACUAUUCUUCACAAAGGCAGUUCGCAAUUCCCUUUACACCCACCAUCCUACUUCCUAAAUGUUGAAUAGAGCAACUGGCCAUUCUCAUUCAGCUUGAUUGUUCAAAUGCUCCACUAAUCAGCUAGACAGAGUGGUGCAAUACUCGGUCCCUUACAGUAUAUAACCACCCAACAACUUUCUAAUGUGGAAAGAAACACAACCAGAUAGUUAGUUCUCUUGUGCGCUCUUAGCA